GGGGUUGUGGCUCAGUGGUAGAGCACUUGCCUAUCAGGUGAGAGGCACUGGGUUCGAUUCUCAGCACUACA
rnacentral:tRNA from 1 species